rfam:Pseudomassariella vexata strain CBS 129021 BCR38scaffold_2, whole genome shotgun sequence.
AGUUCUGUGGUCUAAUGGUUAUGAUAUCUCGUUCACAUUGGUGUGUUUAAUUUCCCGAGAUGGUUCUGGGUUCGAUCCCCAGCAGGACUA